ensembl:processed_transcript
CCGUGAUGACGUCAACACUGACGCGUUCAUUCAGCGUCGAGUCUUCAGAGCUGAGCAGGCAGAGAGAAGCUCUGAGAGGACAAUAUGAGCUCAAUAUGUGAAGGUGAAGGAGGAGAGUGAAGAACUGAGUGAAGAUGAGGAGAAACAUCAUGUCAAAACUGAAAUCGAAGCUCAGACAAAGACUGAAGAAGGUUUUUUAAUGAGAAGAACAGCCGUGAAAUGUUUCACCUGCACUCAGUGUGGAAAGAGUUUCAGCCAUGAAUACAAUCUCAGGCGUCACAUGAUGAUCCACACUGGAGAGAAACCUUACAAGUGUUCAUAUUGCGAGAAGAGCUUCAAUUGUUCAGGAAACCUGAAUAAUCAUGAGAGGAUCCACACGGGGGAGAA